rnacentral:tRNA from 1 species
GGGUUGAUAGCUUAUCGGUAAAGCAUGUCGCUCAUAACUACAUAGAAGUUGGUUCAACCCCAUCUCAACCCA